ACGUAGGAGCCAAGCGUUAUCCGAAUUCACUGGGCGUAAAGCGCGUGUAGGCGGCUUGGUAAGUCGGAUGUAAAAGCUCCUGGCUCAACUGGGAGAGGACGUUUAAUACUGCCGGGCUAGAGGGCGGGAGAGGGAGGUGGAAUUCCCGGUGUAGUGGUGAAAUGCGUAUAUAUCGGGAGGAACACCGGUGGCGAAGGCGGCCUCCUGGUUCGCUCCUGACGCUGAGACGCGAAAGCUUGGGGAGCGAACAG
rnacentral:rRNA from 1 species